rnacentral:lncRNA from 1 species
AGGGAGGCAGCUUGCUAACACCAAGAGGCUGAGCUGGGUUUCUCUUGCUUUGCAGACUUCCCUGCUGACAGUCAAAAGGAAUUAGUCAUGUGGUUGUUCGGAAUGUGCAAUCACCUGAGACUAAAAUGACCUCACCAGAGUAAACGACAGAGCACAACAUACCCGUAAUACAGGAUUUGCAGGGGAGAAUGAACUAUGUACUAGCGUUUUGCCAUUCUUGCCCCACCCUCGCCUGCCACCAAUGAGGUUAGUAUUCUCUAGUGAUAACUAGAGGAACUUCCUCUAGCUCUUCUGGAACAGCUUUUUCUUUUGUGAUGGGAUUUCAUGAUAUAGACCAUGCUGGUCUGUAAUCUACAGUCAUCUUGCCACAGGCUCCAGAUGCUAGGACUACAGAUCAACCAGUGAAACAUACUUCUGAAUCCUCCCCAGAGCCUCGGGAGUCUGGGCUGAAAGGCCAAAGCCUUGGUGGUCCCCAGUUAGCUUACACAUUUGAAUGCAUGCACUAGUGAUUACAGCCUGAGAGCCUUCCCUUUAUGACUUUAGAUGACUCUAACUGGGCUUUUGCUUAGAGUUCUGUUUACUUUCCAGGCUUUAAUGACAGGCUGGCUCUCUGGGAGUGUCCCAGUGAAAGAUUCAGACAGAGGUCACUCUCUUCAACCUCUUCCCUGGCAGGGCUGUUCCAGCUGGCAUCUUGAGAAUGGUGCCACUGAAGUUGAGAUUUGGGUGUGAGAACACGGUGUUUCUCAGGCGACCAAGUGAUGGUGUAGUUUACCUUCCAGAUCAAUAUGUGUUUGGCAGCAAGUGGCUCGCUCUCCUUGUCACAUUCUCUUGUGGAUUAGGUAAUUGGGGGGAGGAAAGACAUAGAAAAUGAAAAGCA